rnacentral:rRNA from 1 species
UUUUAUAUGAGAGUUUGAUCCUGGCUCAGGAUGAACGCCGGCGGUGUGCCUAAUACAUGCAAGUCGAGCGCACUGGCCCAACUGAUAUGACGUGCUUGCACUGAAUUGACGUUGGAUUC